UAAAGGGAAGGUUUCUUCACUCAUUUUGUCUCCACCACGUUGUCUACAGCUACCUGCCAGACAAAGACAAACUUCUCACUGAUGAAGAGUUUGGUACCAAGAAUCAAGUACAACCUAAAACCAAAAGGGAUUGCAGCUCAUGAAAACUCUCCAACCCAGCUUGAAACCAUCAGCCUCAGAGCACUUGGAAAUGAUGGGAAGGUGCACGGAUCUCCAUGGGUUACUCAGCCUUCUGCUGCCAUCACUGCACUGUUAUCAGUACCCAGCAAGCCAGAUGAAAGCUACUCCUGCUGUCUGCUCAAGUCACAGUCACACCUCCAGACUGCAGUACAGACACACCCUCUGUCUGAGAGUCUUACUCUACAUGAGUUCUUCCAGUUUUAAUAAAUUUGCAGUGAAAUAUUAAAC
rnacentral:lncRNA from 1 species